AAAGCAACAGCCGCCAAUCCUUGGUCAGAUCGUUUAUGGUCAGAACUACGAUGGUAUCUGAUCGUCUUCAAACCUCCAACUUUCGUUCUUGAUUACUGAAAACAUUCUUGGCAAAUGCUUUUGCUUUAGUCCGUCUU